CCACACCAAAAAUCCUUUCCACGUGAACUGUCUUACGAGAUUCGCGCCGUGACGCGUGUUGGCGCUGUGUGUGUAUGUCUGUGUCUUCUUUCGAGGAGAUAUGGAUUGUGUGCACAUGGUGCUGACCGCGUGGGUCGGCUGAUCGAAGGUCGCUUUGUGCUGUAUGUAUGUAUAGUGCGAAGUGGCUGACUUAUUCUUUCAAACCCAUUACUCAAUACUACUGAUUAAUACUGUGAGGACGAAAGUCUUUGCUUUUACUAGAUAACAACUUUCAGCAGUGGAUGUCUAGGCUCGCACAUCGAUGAAGAACGCUGCGAACUGCGAUACGUAAUGCGAAUUGCAGAAUUCAGUGAGUCAUCGAAAUUUUGAACGCAUAUUGCACUUUCGGGUUAUGCCUGGAAGUAUGUCUGUAUCAGUGUCCGUAAAUCAACCUUGCCUCUCUUUGUCGGUGUAGUCCGGCUUGGAGUGUGCAGAUGUGAAGUGUCUCGCGCUACGUCAGUUUGUCUUUGAUAAUACUAGGCGCGCGAGUCCUUUUAAAACGACACGAUCUUUCUAUUGCUUUCUGUGGAGCGCGACGUUUGAACGCGGCGGUCUUGGGAUCGCCUGCAGUCGAUGGCGACUUUGGCAGAGACAUAUGGAGGAACCCUCAUUUCGCGGUACGUUAGGCUUCGGCUCGACAAUGUUGCGUUUUGAGUGUGUUUGUCCGUCUUUGCUUUGAGGUGUACUAUCGGUUGUGGGCUUGAACCUGGGUCUUGUGUGUUAGUAGAAUGUGGCUGUCUCUGUGGUUUGCGUCUGCGUGCAAUUUCGGUCGCACGUAGGUAGGAGGGUUCCAUUUGGGAAACAUUGUACUGCGCGCUGCAAAGCGUGUGUGUAUCUCAUUUGGACCUGAUAUCAGACAAGACUACCCGCU
rnacentral:rRNA from 1 species